CAACCUCAACUCAUAUGGGACUACCCCCUGAAUUUAAGCAUAUUAAUUAGGGGAGGAAAAGAAACUAACAAGGAUUUUCUUAGUAGCGGCGAGCGAAAAGAAAACAGUUCAGCACUAAGUCACUUUGUCUAUAUGGCAAAUGUGAGAUGCAGUGUAUGGAGCGUCAAUAUUCUAGUAUGAGAAAUUAAUGAUUUAAGUCCUUCUUAAAUGAGGCCAUUUACCCAUAGAGGGUGCCAGGCCCGUAUAACGUUAAUGAUUACUAGAUGAUGUUUCCAAAGAGUCGUGUUGCUUGAUAGUGCAGCACUAAGUGGGUGGUAAACUCCAUCUAAAACUAAAUAUAACCAUGAGACCGAUAGUAAACAAGUACCGUGAGGGAAAGUUGAAAAGAACUCUGAAUAGAGAGUUAAACAGUACGUGAAACUGCUUAGAGGUUAAGCCCGAUGAACCUGAAUAUCCGUUAUGGAAAAUUCAUCAUUAAAAUUGUAAUAUUUAAAUAAUAUUAUUAAGAAUAAUGUGCAUUUUUUCCAUAUAAGGACAUUGUAAUCUAUUAGCAUAUCCCAAAUUUAUCAUAAAAUAUAACUUAUAGUUUAUUCCAAUUAAAUUGCUUGCAUUUUAACACAGAAUAAAUGUUAUUAAUUUGAUAAAGUGCUGAUAGAUUUAUAUUAUUACAGAGCGUUAAUUUUUCGGAAUUAUAUAAUGGCAUAAUUAUCAUUGAUUUUUGUGUUUAUUAUAUGCUCUUGUAUGAUUAACAAUGCGAAAGAUUCAGGAUACCUUCGGGACCCGUCUUGAAACACGGACCAAGGAGUCUAACAUAUGUGCAAGUUAUUGGGAUGUAAACCUAAUAGCGUAAUUAACUUGACUAAUAAUGGGAUUAGUUUUUUAGCUAUUUAUAGCUAAUUAACACAAUCCCGGGGCGUUCUAUAUAGUUAUGUAUAAUGUAUAUUUAUAUUAUUUAUGCCUCUAACUGGAACGUACCUUGAGCAUAUAUGCUGUGACCCGAAAGAUGGUGAACUAUACUUGAUCAGGUUGAAGUCAGGGGAAACCCUGAUGGAAGACCGAAACAGUUCUGACGUGCAAAUCGAUUGUCAGAAUUGAGUAUAGGGGCGAAAGACCAAUCGAACCAUCUAGUAGCUGGUUCCUUCCGAAGUUUCCCUCAGGAUAGCUGGUGCAUUUUAAUAUUAUAUAAAAUAAUCUUAUCUGGUAAAGCGAAUGAUUAGAGGCCUUAGGGUCGAAACGAUCUUAACCUAUUCUCAAACUUUAAAUGGGUAAGAACCUUAACUUUCUUGAUAUGAAGUUCAAGGUUAUGAUAUAAUGUGCCCAGUGGGCCACUUUUGGUAAGCAGAACUGGCGCUGUGGGAUGAACCAAACGUAAUGUUACGGUGCCCAAAUUAACAACUCAUGCAGAUACCAUGAAAGGCGUUGGUUGCUUAAAACAGCAGGACGGUGAUCAUGGAAGUCGAAAUCCGCUAAGGAGUGUGUAACAACUCACCUGCCGAAGCAACUAGCCCUUAAAAUGGAUGGCGCUUAAGUUGUAUACCUAUACAUUACCGCUAAAGUAGAUGAUUUAUAUUACUUGUGAUAUAAAUUUUGAAACUUUAGUGAGUAGGAAGGUACAAUGGUAUGCGUAGAAGUGUUUGGCGUAAGCCUGCAUGGAGCUGCCAUUGGUACAGAUCUUGGUGGUAGUAGCAAAUAAUCGAAUGAGACCUUGGAGGACUGAAGUGGAGAAGGGUUUCGUGUGAACAGUGGUUGAUCACGAGUUAGUCGGUCCUAAGUUCAAGGCGAAAGCCGAAAAUUUUCAAGUAAAACAAAAAUGCCUAACUAUAUAAACAAAGCGAAUAUAAUACACUUGAAUAAUUUUGAACGAAAGGGAAUACGGUUCCAAUUCCGUAACCUGUUGAGUAUCCGUUUGUUAUUAAAUAUGGGCCUCGUGCUCAUCCUGGCAACAGGAACGACCAUAAAGAAGCCGUCGAGAGAUAUCGGAAGAGUUUUCUUUUCUGUUUUAUAGCCGUACUACCAUGGAAGUCUUUCGCAGAGAGAUAUGGUAGAUGGGCUAGAAGAGCAUGACAUAUACUGUUGUGUCGAUAUUUUCUCCUCGGACCUUGAAAAUUUAUGGUGGGGACACGCAAACUUCUCAACAGGCCGUACCAAUAUCCGCAGCUGGUCUCCAAGGUGAAGAGUCUCUAGUCGAUAGAAUAAUGUAGGUAAGGGAAGUCGGCAAAUUAGAUCCGUAACUUCGGGAUAAGGAUUGGCUCUGAAGAUUGAGAUAGUCGGGCUUGAUUGGGAAACAAUAACAUGGUUUAUGUGCUCGUUCUGGGUAAAUAGAGUUUCUAGCAUUUAUGUUAGUUACUUGUUCCCCGGAUAGUUUAGUUACGUAGCCAAUUGUGGAACUUUCUUGCUAAAAUUUUUAAGAAUACUAUUUGGGUUAAACCAAUUAGUUCUUAUCAAUUAUAACGAUUAUCAAUUAACAAUCAAUUCAGAACUGGCACGGACUUGGGGAAUC